rnacentral:lncRNA from 1 species
AUUUCCUGAAGAAACAUGAUCAUUUUGGAAAUUCAUGUUAGAAUCUGAUCGCUUUGGAGGAUCCAGCCCCAAGGAAGAGAGAGAAGUCAGAUUCUGAAGUUCAUGUAAGGUUUCUGUGAUCUUGCUGCUAUAGCCUUUGGAAAUCUACAUCUAUGCAUCAUUUUUAGUGCGGCUGAAGAAAGCUGUUCUUCAUGUGGGUGGCCAAUGCAGAGGGUGCAUGAGCCCCACACUUCAUUAUGGAGAUGACUCUAACUUGGGGGUAUUACUGGGAUUUGGGUGGCUUGGCAUGCUCCCAGGAGAUAUGCACCAUGGAUACAGAAUGUCUCAAGAGCUAUUGCAUUUCUCAUGUAACAAGUGACAGCAAGACUAACUCAGUCAUGGAGCCUGAGAGAUGGGUGCCCCAGGUACCAAGGAAUCCCAUGGACCUUGAGGAUGGGGACCUGGGCACACCCGCCCCCUUGGAGCAGGACACUCACCCCUCGUCCUCAUAGAGCCCACGUUGCCAGUCAACUCCUAAAGGCACUGGAUGUCCUUUCAGUCAUCUCUUCCCUACCACUGUGCACCUUCAAGAGGGCUCGGCAGAAUCCUGGAAUGGAGACAGGAGCCCAGUCCUUGAUGCCAGCUGACCAACUAACUGUCCGCAGUGGCCUACAAUAACAACAGCUACAACAAUACUACUUUCCACUCGGCUGAGACUUGACUUGUGUAGUAGACAGCCUCUAAGAUGGCCCCUAGGGAUCCCCACCUCCUGUGCUCAUACCCUUGGGUAGUUAGUCCACGUUGUAUCAGCAUUGUUUCAUGUGACCCAGGAACCUCUGGCAGAAGUGAUGGCAUGUCACUUCUGAUUGUUAUAAAAGACACUGUGG